UGGGGAAUUUUGGACAAUGGGCGAAAGCCUGAUCCAGCAAUGCCGCGUGUGUGAAGAAGGCCUUCAGGUUGUAAAGCACUUUUGUCCGGAAAGAAAUCCUUGGCUCUAAUACAGUCGGGGGAUGACGGUACCGGAAGAAUAAGCACCGGCUAACUACGUGCCAGCAGCCGCGGUAAUACGUAGGGUGCAAGCGUUAAUCGGAAUUACUGGGCGUAAAGCGUGCGCAGGCGGUUUGCUAAGACCGAUGUGAGAUCCCCGGGCUCAACCUGGGAACUGCAUUGGUGACUGGCAGGCUAGAGUAUGGCAGAGGGGGGUAGAAUUCCACGUGUAGCAGUGAAAUGCGUAGAGAUGUGGAGGAAUACCGAUGGCGAAGGCAGCCCCCUGGGCCAAUACUGACGCUCAUGCACGAAAGCGUGGGGAGCAAACAGGAUUAGAUACCCUGGUAGUCCACGCCCUAAACGAUGUCAACUAGUUGUUGGGGAUUCAUUUCCUUAGUAACGUAGCUAACGCGUGAAGUUGACCGCCUGGGGAGUACGGUCGCAAGAUUAAAACUCAAAGGAAUUGACGGGGUCAUAGCUGUUUCCU
rnacentral:rRNA from 1 species